UACGGAGGCCCCAAGCGUUGUUCGGAUUCACUGGGCGUAAAGGGUCCGUAGGUGGCGAGGUAAGUCGGCUGUGAAAUCUCCGAGCUCAACUCGGAAAUGGCAUUGGAAACUACCUUGCUCGAGGGUUGGAGGGGGGACUGGAAUGCUUGGUGUAGCGGUGAAAUGCGUAGAUAUCAAGCGGAACACCAGUGGCGAAGGCGAGUCCCUGGACAACUCCUGACACUGAGGCACGAAAGCUAGGGGAGCAAACAGG
rnacentral:rRNA from 1 species